rfam:Gossypium hirsutum cultivar TM-1 unplaced genomic scaffold scaffold1822.1, whole genome shotgun sequence
UAUUAAAAAUUUCAUCCAUUUCUAUUGUUAAAAACUAGCAACAGAAUAACCAAAUAGUACAUGUGGUGUGCUAGAUGUACCUUUUGAUGUAUAUCGACUAGUUUUUAAUAGUAGAAAUGGAUGAAAUUUUUAACA